GAGCCUGAAAGGAACAGUUGCCCACUUAGAUUUGGAGUCUCUUCAAUUCACCACUGGCUGGUCUACCUCCUCCAACCAGACAUGGCAAGAUGCUGUCCUCUCUCGGCCCUCCCCAGGAUAAAUGCAACUUCUAGGAAGAGGAUUCAGCAACCCACCCACCAACGCAAUCCAGACGAGAACAAUCCGCUGACCCUAACCACUUCCUUGUGUCCCUGUGCAGUUGCUUCUGUCCUCAGGCAGCCACUGAUCUGCCUUCUGUCCUUAUAGCUUUGCCUUUUCUAGAAUUGCACGUAAGUGCACUCACAUAAUACAUGAUCUUUUGACUUCUUUA